rnacentral:rRNA from 1 species
UGACUAUAUGUUUAACGGCCGCGGUAUUUUAACCGUGCGAAGGUAGCGCAAUCACUUGUCUUUUAAAUGAAGACCUGUAUGAAUGGCACAACGAGGGCUUAACUGUCUCCUUUUUCAGGUCAAUGAAAUUGAUCUCCCCGUGCAGAAGCGGGUAUAUAUACAUAAGACGAGAAGACCCUAUGGAGCUUUAGACACCAAGGCAUUUCAUGUUAAACACCCUUUUACAAUAGGCUAAACCAAAUGAACCGUGCCCCUAUGUCUUUGGUUGGGGCGACCGCGGGGAAACAAAAAACCCCCACGUGGAAUGGGAGCACUGCCUCCUACAACCAAGAGCUGCAGCUCUAGUAAACAGAAAUUCUGACCAUCAGAUCCGGCAAUGCCGAUCAACGGACCGAGUUACCCUAGGGAUAACAGCGCAAUCCCCUUUUAGAGCCCAUAUCGACAAGGGGGUUUACGACCUCGAUGUUGGAUCAGGACAUCCUAAUGGUGCAGCCGCUAUUAAGGGUUCGUUUGUUCAACG